UGGCUCAGGGGUUAAGAGCACUGGCUGUUCUUCCAGAGGACCUGGGUUCAAUUCCCAG
rnacentral:tRNA from 1 species